CUGGUUAAAAUAGUUGUGUAAUUAGUAAGUCGUUUAGGAGAGGACCAGUUGAACUAUUUGAUAAACUUUAAAUAAUGUAAUUGUCAAAAUUAAAAGUUCAGAAAUUGUAAUAUUCCGGACGACGAGCAGCCGCCAAUGAUGAGAUCGCUCUGAGGCUUAGUCGGUGACGAGGAUGAUGGUUGGAUCGGAUUCAGGUAAUUGGGUGAGGGAAAGGAUACUAGAAGGAGAAUUAGAGAGAAAAGAUGCAUCAGAUAUUGGGAAAUUGAUGAGAAGAGGGGAAGAGAAGGGGCGAGGGAGAGAGAAGAAUGAAGAAAGGAGAAGAAGGCUUGGGGAGGAAGUAUUUUAUAUUAAUUCUUAUAUUCAUUAAUUA
rnacentral:lncRNA from 1 species